UUUUAGAGUUUGGAUCUGGCUCAGGAUGAACGCUGGCGGCAUGCCUAAUACAUGCAAGUCGAACGGGGUGCUUGCACCCAGUGGCGAACGGGUGAGUAACACGUAUCUAAUCUACCUUUUAGUGGGGGAUAACAGUUGGAAACGACUGCUAAUACCGCAUACGACGUCGAUAUGGCAUCAGAAGACGUUGAAAGGCCCGUUUGGGUCGCUAGAAGAUGAGGAUGCGGCGUAUUAGCUAGUAGGUGGGGUAAUUGCCCACCUAGGCCAUGAUACGUAGCCGAACUGAGAGGUUGAUCGGCCACAUUGGGACUGAGAUACGGCCCAGACUUCUACGGAAGGCAGCAGUAGGGAAUUUUUCACAAUGGGCGAAAGCCUGAUGAAGCAAUGCCGCGUGAGUGAUGACGGUCUUCGGAUUGUAAAGCUCUGUUGUAAGGGAAGAAAUGCUAGAAGAGGAAAUGCUUUUAGUUUGACGGUACCUUACCAGAAAGCCACGGCUAAAA
rnacentral:rRNA from 1 species